CCGCUGCACUCGGCCGGGCGUCACCCGCAGCCCUCAGUUGGGAGCAGCAUCCCCUUUCCAAGUGAGAACUGAACCGUGCACUCUCUGGAGUCCUUCACUACUGCUUGGCUGGCUGGGUAGUAGCUGAUGGAUGAGUGUCCUUCCUGGCCAGCCACUGUGCUGUUUCUCCUGCACUCCCAGCAGAGAAUGAGAGACCAAGGAUGUUCCAUGUGCCCCUGUGGAGCACAGCUGCACUGCCAAAUGAAGUGUCUAUGAAGAAAAUGAAGGUACAGAUGCAAACUUUGCAACUUCAGCCUGUCUCUAGUAUGUGUCUAUUGAAGGAAAAAUCCUUUGCAAAUGCAGUUAAUUGUUUGGAAUAAAAGUUGAAAGAAGUUCAAUAUAUUAAAAAGAAAGAAAAAAAUUCUUUUCAAGACCGUGAAAUUAUAGAGCAACUCUGGUAAAGCAGAAGCAGGGGUAACAUUAUAAAGGUAAGGGUUAAUUUUUUUUUUUCUUUGAACACAUAACACAUUCCUUCAAAGUUAUCCUGCUCUC
rnacentral:lncRNA from 1 species